UACGGAGGGAGCUAGCGUUAUUCGGAAUUACUGGGCGUAAAGCGCACGUAGGCGGCUUUGUAAGUAAGAGGUGAAAGCCCAGAGCUCAACUCUGGAAUUGCCUUUUAGACUGCAUCGCUUGAAUCAUGGAGAGGUCAGUGGAAUUCCGAGUGUAGAGGUGAAAUUCGUAGAUAUCGGGAGGAACACCAGUGGCGAAGGCGGCGAUCUGGGAAGUUACUGACGCUGAGGUGCGAAAGCGUGGGGAGCAAACAGG
rnacentral:rRNA from 1 species